rnacentral:lncRNA from 1 species
AUGAGAUACACAUUGUACCAAGACUAAAGUUAUUAAUAAUACUCUCAGACAGUGAUUUCUGACAUUCAUAUAUGUACAUUCAUUCCUUGAACUAAAGUUUCAGUUCAUUAAGCACUGGAGAUGUUAUAGUGUUAGGUGAUAAGAGCUAUGAAGAAAAAGGGAAGCUAGGUAAGAGGCUAGGGUGUGCUUUUUCAAUUCAGGCAGUCAGG